AUUGAACGCUGGCGGCAUGCCUUACACAUGCAAGUCGAACGGUAACGGGCCUUCGGGUGCCGACGCGUGGCGAACGGGUGAGUAAUACAUCGGAACGUGCCCGAUCGUGGGGGAUAACGAGGCGAAAGCUUUGCUAAUACCGCAUACGAUCUACGGUUGAAAGCAGGGGACCGCAAGGCCUUGCGCGGACGGAGCGGCCGAUGGCGGAUUAGGCAGUUGGUGGGAUAAAAGCUUACCAAGCCGACGAUUUGUAGCUGGUCUGAGAGGAUGAUCAGCCACACUGGGACUGAGACACGGCCCAGACUCCUACGGGAGGCAGCAGUGGGGAAUGUUGGACAAUGGGCGCAAGCCUGAUCCAGCCAGGCCGCGUGCAGGAUGAAGGCCUUCGGGUUGUAAACUGCUUUUGUACGGAACGAAAAGCCUUCUUUUAAUACAGGAGGGUCAUGACGGUACCGGAAGAAUAAGCACCGGCUAACUACGUG
rnacentral:rRNA from 1 species